AUCGAAUUCACAGUUGUCUUUCCUUACUUGCCACUUCAGUCAAUGUUGUAAACAACGUGUUCGAUUUCAGUAACGUGGUGUCAACAACGCUUGAGAAAUAAAACCGCACCAGUCACACCUGCACUUUAAAAAGGUAGACUUCUUGGAAUGGCGUUGAAGCGAGUUUUGAUCACUGGAGCGUCAGGACUGUUGGGGAGAGCUAUAUUUGGGGAGUUUUCUGCUGAUGCAUCAUGGGAGGUUCUUGGGCUAGCUUUCUCAAGAAGUAGGGACAAACUGAAAAAGGUUGAUUUAACCGAUCCCAGUUCCGUCCAGCAAGUUGUACAAGACUUCAAGCCGUCUAUUGUAAUCCACGCAGCAGCAGAAAGACGCCCUGAUGUUGUCGAGAAACAAGACGAGGCCACACAAAAGAUCAACAUUGAUGCUACACGGACCCUGUGUACAGAGGCAGGCAAGGUUGGUUCAUGGGUGCUGUUUGUGAGUACCGACUAUGUCUUUGAUGGGUCCAAGCCUCCAUACACAGUGACAGACCAGCCUACCCCUCUCAACAAGUAUGGCCAGAGUAAAUACCAAGGGGAGAGGGUCACACUGGAAACUAGCAAAGAUAAUGGUGUCCUGCGUGUCCCCAUUCUGUAUGGAGAAGUGGAGUAUCUGGGGGAGAGUUCUGUCACAGUUUUGUUUGAGAAGGUAAAGGACACCACAAAGACAUGUGUCAUGUCUGACUACGAACGUCGGUACCCCACAACCUGCCAGGACGUCGCGGUCACCAUCCGACAGUUGUCAGACAAGAGACUACAGGAUAGCUCCAUCAACGGCAUAUUCCACUGGAGUGGUGAUGAAAACAUGACCAAGUACGACAUGGCUGUGGCGAUGGCAGAGAUAUUCAACCUCCCGACUAGUCACAUCGAAGCCGACAAGAAGCCGUCCCCUGGAGUAACGCGGCCCUUCAACUCCCAGUUGGACUGUUCCCGUCUCGAGGCGUUGGGCUGUGGACAGAGGACCAAGUUCAAAGAAGGCAUCGCACACGUUCUCCAGAACUACAAACCAUAGACACGCAUUGAAGCAAAGGAGAUGCAUGUGGAAGAUUACAUUUACUGAGUAUUACAUAUGGUGUUAUCUCUAUUCAUGAAGGAUAUAUUGAUUUACUUUUCCUGCUGAUUUUACAAAGGUAAAGUGGACACAGUCUAAAUCUUUGUAUUGAACAAAUAUGGUGCUUAGUCUGAAGAUCAAACAUGAAACACCAACCUAUCAUGACAUCAGGUGGGCACACUACCAUGCACCGCUCGACUACCGUAAUCUAACCAGGUGACUUGUCCCAGUUCAUUAACACAUCCUACGGUGAUGGAAUUAGAUGGUUUUAGAAGGUGUACCUGAUACAGUGUUUCUCUUCAAAAACUUGUUUUCCGAAUUUUCUAUUGUUAUUUCCUUUCACAUUCGACUAGAAGUAAUUGUAAGAUAAUUUGAUCUUCAAAUUUGGGGGGGCCGGGGAGAUUUGUCAUCUUCUGAUGACUCUUGUUUUGUCUCAGUUAAGACACUAAUAUAUUAAAUAGUGGAACAGAAAACAUUACCAAAAAUCUUCUCAGCAACAAUUUUAGACAUGGAAAGAUAACAGUUCAAUUAUUAAGAUCAUAUAUAUCAUAUCUAGGCUUCCCUAUACACAAUAGGGGGGCGGGGUAGCCUAGUGGUGGGCUCCC
rnacentral:misc_RNA from 1 species